AUUGAACGCUGGCGGCAGGCUUAACACAUGCAAGUCGAGCGGAUGAAGGUAGCUUGCUACCGGAUUCAGCGGCGGACGGGUGAGUAAUGCUUAGGAAUCUGCCUAUUAGUGGGGGACAACGUUCCGAAAGGAGCGCUAAUACCGCAUACGUCCUACGGGAGAAAGCAGGGGACCUUCGGGCCUUGCGCUAAUAGAUGAGCCUAAGUCGGAUUAGCUAGUUGGUAGGGUAAAGGCCUACCAAGGCGACGAUCUGUAGCGGGUCUGAGAGGAUGAUCCGCCACACUGGGACUGAGACACGGCCCAGACUCCUACGGGAGGCAGCAGUGGGGAAUAUUGGACAAUGGGGGGAACCCUGAUCCAGCCAUGCCGCGUGUGUGAAGAAGGCCUUUUGGUUGUAAAGCACUUUAAGCGAGGAGGAGGCUACCUAGAUUAAUACUUUAGGAUAGUGGACGUUACUCGCAGAAUAAGCACCGGCUAACUCUGUGCCAGCAGCCGCGGUAAUACAGAGGGUGCGAGCGUUAAUCGGAUUUACUGGGCGUAAAGCGUGCGUAGGCGGCCAAUUAAGUCAAAUGUGAAAUCCCCGAGCUUAACUUGGGAAUUGCAUUCGAUACUGGUUGGCUAGAGUAUGGGAGAGGAUGGUAGAAUUCCAGGUGUAGCGGUGAAAUGCGUAGAGAUCUGGAGGAAUACCGAUGGCGAAAGCAGCCAUCUGGCCUAAUACUGACGCUG
rnacentral:rRNA from 1 species